rnacentral:rRNA from 1 species
CUACGGGGUGCUGCAGUGAGGAAUAUUGCACAAUGGGGGGAACCCUGAUGCAGCAACGCCGCGUGGAGGAUGACGCAUUUCGGUGUGUAGACUCCUUUUAUAUGUCAAGAAAAUGACGGUAGCAUAUGAAUAAGCACCGGCUAACUCCGUGCCAGCAGCCGCGGUAAUAGCGGAGGGUGCAAGCGUUACUCGGAAUCACUGGGCGUAAAGGACGCGUAGGCGGGUUGGAAAGUCAGGUGUGAAAUCCUACAGCUUAACUGUAGAACUGCACUUGAAACUUCUAAUCUAGAGUAUGGGAGGGGGAGAUGGAAUUAGUGGUGUAGGGGUAAAAUCCGUAGAUAUCACUAGGAAUACCUAAAGCGAAGGCGAUCUCCUGGAACAUUACUGACGCUAAGGCGUGAAAGCGUGGGGAGCAAACAGGAUUAGAUACCCGGGUAGUC